GAUGAACGCUAGCGACAGGCCUAACACAUGCAAGUCGAGGGGCAGCACAUGAGUAGCAAUACGAUGGUGGCGACCGGCGCACGGGUGAGUAACACGUAUGCAACCUGCCUUCUACUAUGGGAUAACCCGUUGAAAGACGGACUAAUACCGUAUAAUACAGGGGCUCCGCAUGGAGAUAUUUGUUAAAGAUUUAUUGGUAGAAGAUGGGCAUGCGUAUGAUUAGAUAGUUGGUGAGGUAACGGCUUACCAAGUCAACGAUCAUUAGGGGUUCUGAGAGGAAGGUCCCCCACACUGGUACUGAGACACGGACCAGACUCCUACGGGAGGCAGCAGUGAGGAAUAUUGGUCAAUGGACGAGAGUCUGAACCAGCCAAGUCGCGUGAAGGAAGACGGUUCUAUGAAUUGUAAACUUCUUUUGUGCAGGAAUAAAGUGGGUUACGUGUAACCUUUUGUAUGUACUGUACGAAUAAGGAUCGGCUAACUCCGUGCCAGCCGCCGCGGUAAUAC
rnacentral:rRNA from 1 species